rnacentral:rRNA from 1 species
UUUUUUAAUUGAAAGCUUGUAUGAAUGGUUAAAUGAAAUAUAUUCUGUUUUAAAAAAUAGUAUGAAUUUAAUUUUUUAGUCAAAAAGCUAAAAUUAAUUUAUAGGACGAGAAGACCCUAUAAAGUUUUAUAUUUAAUAUAAAUGUAUUUUUAAAAUAAAUAAUAGUAUUAAAUAUUUUAUUGGGGAGAUAAUAAAAUUUAACCAACUUUUAUUAAUAAAAACAAAGAUUUUUGAAUUAAUGAAUUAUUAUUAAUAAUUUAAAAAUUAAAUUACUUUAGGGAUAACAGCAUAAUUUUUUUUUUAAGUUCAAAUUUAUAAUAAAGAUUGU